GAUGAACGCUAGCGGCAGACUUAACACAUGCAAGUCGAGGGGUAUAGGUUUUCGGACCUAGAGACCGGCGCACGGGUGCGUAACGCGUAUGCAAUCUACCUUUCACAGAGGGAUAGCCCAGAGAAAUUUGGAUUAAUACCUCAUAGUAUUAUGAAGUGGCAUCAUUUUAUAAUUAAAGUUCCAACGGUUAAAGAUGAGCAUGCGUCCCAUUAGCUAGAUGGUAAGGUAACGGCUUACCAUGGCGACGAUGGGUAGGGGUCCUGAGAGGGAGAUCCCACACACUGGUACUGAGACACGGACCAGACUCCUACGGGAGGCAGCAGUGAGGAAUAUUGGUCAAUGGACGCAAGUCUGAACCAGCCAUGCCGCGUGCAGGAUGACGGUCCUAUGGAUUGUAAACUGCUUUUGUACGAGAAGAAACACUCCCUCGUGAAGGAGCUUGACGGUAUCGUAAGAAUAAGGAUCGGCUAACUCCGUGCCAGCAGCCGCCGUAA
rnacentral:rRNA from 1 species